rnacentral:rRNA from 1 species
AUUGAACGCUGGCGGCAGGCCUAACACAUGCAAGUCGAGCGGAUGGAGGGAGCUUGCUCCUGGAUUCAGCGGCGGACGGGUGAGUAAUGCCUAGGAAUCUGCCUGGUAGUGGGGGAUAACGUCCGGAAACGGGCGCUAAUACCGCAUACGUCCUGAGGGAGAAAGCGGGGGAUCUUCGGACCUCACGCUAUCAGAUGAGCCUAGGUCGGAUUAGCUAGUUGGUGGGGUAAAGGCCUACCAAGGCGACGAUCCGUAACUGGUCUGAGAGGAUGAUCAGUCACACUGGAACUGAGACACGGUCCAGACUCCUACGGGAGGCAGCAGUGGGGAAUAUUGGACAAUGGGCGAAAGCCUGAUCCAGCCAUGCCGCGUGUGUGAAGAAGGUCUUCGGAUUGUAAAGCACUUUAAGUUGGGAGGAAGGGCAGUAAGUUAAUACCUUGCUGUUUUGACGUUACCAACAGAAUAAGCACCGGCUAACUUCGUG